rnacentral:rRNA from 1 species
AUACGGAGGGUGCGAGCGUUGUUCGGAUUUAUUGGGCGUAAAGGGCGUGUAGGCGGUCAGAUAAGUCUGGUGUGAAAGCCCUUGGCUUAACCAAGGAAUGUCGCUGGAAACUGUCUGACUUGAGUACGUGAGAGGAGAGUGGAAUUCCCGGUGUAGAGGUGAAAUUCGUAGCUAUCGGGAGGAACACCGGUGGCGAAGGCGGCUCUCUGGCUCGAUACUGACGCUGAGACGCGAAAGCGUGGGGAGCAAACAGGAUUAGAUACCCAAGUAGUCC